UAUGGCUCAGUGGUAGAGCACUUGCCUGACAUGUGUGAGGCCCUGGGUUCAAUUCCUCAGUA
rnacentral:tRNA from 1 species